UGGGGAAUAUUGGACAAUGGACCGAGAGUCUGAUCCAGCAAUUCUGUGUGCACGAUGAAGUUUUUCGGAAUGUAAAGUGCUUUCAGUUGGGAAGAAAGAAAUGACGGUACCAACAGAAGAAGUGACGGCUAAAUACGUGCCAGCAGCCGCGGUAAUACGUAUGUCACGAGCGUUAUCCGGAUUUAUUGGGCGUAAAGCGCGUCUAGGUGGUUAUAUAAGUCUGAUGUGAAAAUGCAGGGCUCAACUCUGUAUUGCGUUGGAAACUGUAUAACUAGAGUACUGGAGAGGUAAGCGGAACUACAAGUGUAGAGGUGAAAUUCGUAGAUUUUGUAGGAAUGCCGAUGGGGAAGCCAGCUUACUGGACAGAUACUGACGCUGAAGCGCGAAAGCGUGGGUAGCAAACAGGAUUAGAUACCCUGGUAGUCCACGCUGUAAACGAUGAUUACUAGGUGUUGGGGGUCGAACCUCNNCGCCCAAGCAAACGCGAUAAGUAAAUCCGCCUGGGGAGUACGUACGCAAGUAUGA
rnacentral:rRNA from 1 species